rnacentral:lncRNA from 1 species
CAAGUUACAGUGGGCCAAGGCUUAUGGUCUUUUCGAUAUUACAAUUAAACACAAGUCAAGGCAGGGAAAAAAAGUCACACACAUAGAGGUUAUCAGAUAAAUACCACUGAAAUUCCAAUGAGGAAGGAGCAUACACCACAGAAUGGCUUCUUUCAGAAAAUAAAACUACCUUUUCUAUUCAGGACAGGACCAUUUAGAAUCUUCUUCAAAUACAAUAAUGUCUACUCCCUGAAGAAACUCUCGGUUGUUUUAUGUGUCCUUAGUUAUAUCAUAACCAGUGUUUGAAUUUCUUGCACAAUGAAUUUUUUCUCUUUAAAUCGGACAAGCAAUAAACUAUCAUGAUAAAUGUGAUUUAGCAACUGACUUAGAAGCAGAGAUAACACGAGCCACAGCUGCCACGCCAAGCAGCCUCCGACGGACUGGCUGAAGUUGCUGCCAUGACAAUCCUGCCCAGGGCUCACUGUGCUCAUCCAGAGCUGUAACAAAGUAGGUUGCUUUCCCUCCAAUUCUUCCAUUUAUUUCUGGAGCUAUCUCACUGUAAUUUAGCUCAAGUUAAUGAUAACCCUAAAUGCAAUAUUACCAGUUAUUAUUUCUCACUUUAAAAUAGUGCCUAAGUGGCUAAUGUUCCCUGGUUUAGAUGGAAUCCGAGGGCAGGGAGUGAGGAGGUUAUGAUGGGCAGAACAGAGAGACCAUGAAAACUGUGCCUCUGACCCUCUGGUCAGCUCAUGUCUACCUUCCAGACUUCGCCUGUCUCAGGCAGGCAGAGGAUCGAGACAUUGGCCCCUAACAUUGGGGAAGAAAUCACACUCUCCUACACUGCUCAAGGAUAUACUUUUUGGAGAAAAAGUUUGUAUGUGUAACAAAAGCCGUAAAUAUUGAUUGUUCUUCAAUCAAGCAAUCUAUUUAUUUAUUUAUUUUGCCUUUUUUUGGGCUGCACCAGUGGCAUAUGGAGGUUCCCAGGCAAAGGGUCCAAUUGGAGCUGUAGCUAAGAGCCUACGCUACAGCCACAGCAGCGCUGGAUCUCAGCUGCAUCUGCAACCUACACUACAGCUCGCGCCAGACCCUUAACCUGAGUGAGGCCAGGGAUUGAACCUGCAUCCUCAUGUUUGUUUUGUGUAGUCAAAUUUGUAGUCAUGUAGUCAGAUUUAUUUCCAUUGAGCCAUGAUGAACUCCAGCCACGAUGGGAAGUCCAAUGAAGCAAUUUAAUAUUCAGGAAUUUAUCUUAAGAAAUGUUCAUCACAGCAUUUUCUGUAUCAGAAGACAAAAGAAAACAACUAAAAUGUCUAAUAAUAUAGUUUGGUGAAAUAAUUAUGGCAUAUGCAAUACUGUUCCCAGCAAACAAGCACAUGGUAGACCAACUCUCUAAGUAUUCCAAGUUUUAAUUUAUUUAAUUUCUUAAACAACCCUAUGAGGCAGUACUAUCACAACCCCUAUUUUACAAGUGAGUCAACUGAGUCACAAGGAUGUACACAGCCUGCUCAAGUGUCCAUGACCCCCAAGUGGCUAAGCUGGCACUUGAACCCAGCAGCCAGCAUGGCGCCACAGUCUACAUCUCUAUUUAUGCUGCCUCACAACAAUGAGAUAAUGUUCCAUCAGCACAACUGAUGUGAGGGAGACAUGUUAUUUCAUGGAAAAGUGUUAGAAUAUGUGGGUGAAUGAAUUAAAAAAAAAAAAACAGGUUACAAAAUAAGUUGAGCAGUGUGAUCCCAUUUUCACAGAAAAAAAAAAAAAAAAAAGAAAAGUGUCUUUAUAGAAAGAAAGAAAACUAAAGCUCUUUCAAGAUAUAACCAACUCAACUUACAGUGGUUAUUUUGGGGUGGCAUCUUCACAUGCUUCCGAAAUUCUUUUUGUUUAUCUCUUAGUUCUAACAAUCGUUCCAAAGACCAUGUAUUUAUUUAUUUUUACAAUGAUUUUUAUUGUUUCCAUUAUAGUUGGUUUACACUGUUCUGUCAAUUUUUACUGUACAGCAAAGGGACCGAGUCUCUCUCUCUCUCUCUCUCUCUCACACACACACACACACACACACACACACACACACAUAUAUGUACGUACACACAUUCUCACAUUAUCCUCCAUCAUAUUCCAUUAUAAGUGACUAGAUAUAGUUCCCUGUGCUAUAGAGCAGGAUCUCAUUGCUUAUCCACUCCAAAUGCAAAAAUUUGCAUCUAUUAAUCCCAGACUCCCAGUUCAUCCCACUCCUUCCCCCUCCCACUCCACCUUGGCAACCACAGGUUUGUUCCCCAAGUUCAUGAGUUUUUUUCUGUGGAAAGGUUCAUUUGUGCCACAGAUUCCAGAUAUAAGUGAUAUCAUUUGGUAUUUGCCAAAGACCAUGUAUUUAAAUGUUAAUUAAGCCUCCUUAGAAAUCAAAGAAAUGGAAAUUAAUUAUGAGAUGUAAUGUUAUAAUGAAAUUAUAAUAUUCAUGUGUUAAAUUAAAAACCCUAAUGCUAGCCGUAUUGUGAUGAAAACAAUGCACCCAUGCACUGCUGCUGGCAGUAUAUACUCUUUCCAACCCUCUGGGGAAAGUAAGCUGAGAGCCUUGAAAAUGUUCAUUUCCUGUAACCCUGUGGUCCCACUUGGAGAAAUUAUCCUAUGAUCACAAUUCAAAGGAAUAAAACUGCUUUAUGUAUGUAGUGAGAAGCACAAAAUCAAAAUAUGCAAUGUGUGCACCCACUGUAGAACCACGCGAGGCUGGUGGGCCACCCGAGUCCCUGUUUGCCCAGCUUCCGUCCGAAUGGGCUUCUGAGGAAAGAUGUGGAUCAGGCAUACUGAAGGGCUCCACACGGCUAAACAUAAGCUCCCGUCCAAGUCAUGGGUGUUAAAAAAGCCAGGAAACGCACCCGGAAAAAGAAGAGACUAGACCUAAAUCCAGGAACACCAGUGGCUUGUGGGAGAGACGGCCUUCUGAGUAUGACACCCUGUGCUAUCACCAGUCUGGGUUGCAGGGAUGUGGUCAGGCACAAGCACUGAUACCGAGGGUCUCUUCUUCCCAAGAACUGAAAUGUCACACUUUCUCUUUGACCAUCCAGGGAGCAAAUGUAUCUCCUUUUCCGGUGGUAAACACAGUAUGAGGAAACAACAAAAGUGACCUAGCUAAUCACCCUGGGAGGUACCUGCAUUGGGAAGAUGACAAUGUGGAGAACACCCCAACUUGUUGAUGUACAUUAAUGGCUGGCUUGUCAGGGCUUGUUUGGGGUGCUCCCUUGACUGUGCCCACCAACAAAAAGGCUGUAAAGUCUCCCCAACCGGAACGGGUUCCCAGCCUUGCAGGGCCUGUGUUGAAUCACUGAGCCCAGACCCUAAAACAUGUUAAACAUCCUCCUUCACCUCCUGCAUCCCAGACACUAAGAGCAGCCAAAGGACCUUAUCCUCCACAGCAGGAAGUCUAACAAACUCUACUUUUCUGACCAGCAGGUAUUCAGGUGGUCUUUUGCAGACAACAACAGCCUCUUCUCAGGUUAGGAACAGGAGAUAAAAUUGCAAGAAUGGAUGAGGCAGGCAAUGGCAGUGAUGUUGCUAAGAUGGAGACAAACCCUGGCUUCCUGGGAAGGAUGAGCCACAGAAUCCGGAAGGCAAGGGAAGAAGAGGAACUGGGAGUAAAACUGUUGAAGACCCUGAGGAUGGAGAAACUGCAGCAGCUCAUGGACUGUGGGAAACAAAUGGUACCAGGAAGAGAGAAGAGAGUGGCGCAGAUCUGGCACCAGUGGAUUCAGGGCAUGGACCUUCGUGUGGGCUCAUGACAUGGAAGGAGGGACUUGGAAGCUGGGGCUUCAGAGUACCUUUGCUGGAAAUCAGAGCCAGACUCCCAGGGAUGCUUACUGACCUUGCUGUGGUUUAGGGGGUGACCUCUGGCUCCAGACCACCUACAUCCAAACCCUAGUGCUGUGUGACCUUGCAUAAGCUGCUUGACUGUAAUAUAAUUGUGCGAAGCCUCAAUCUUCUCAUCUGUAAACCUUUACUUAUUUAUUUAUUCAUUCAUUUAUUUAUUUAUUUUUAUUUUUUCUUUUUAGGGCCACACCCAUGACAUAUGGAGGUUCCCAGGCUAGGGGUCCAAUCGGAGCUACAGCUGCCAGCCUGCGCCACAGCUGCAGCAAUGCGGGAUCCAAGCCAUGUCUGUGAUGUACACCACAGCUCACGGCAAUGCCAGAUCCUUAACCCAUUAAGCAAGGCCAGGGAUGAAACCCGCAUCCUCAUGGAUGCUAGUCGGGUUUGUUAAUAGCUGAGCCAUGAUGGGAACCCUUUACUUCUAAUUUCAUCAUCAUUGUCUCCUUGGUAGAACUCUUCCAGGUGCUGGAAGAAGAAAAAACUGGGACACUUAGUUAAUCAUUAUGUAUUAUAUAGAACAGCAAGCAUUUUAGAAAUUAGUAGAGUACUGGUAAAUUUGCAACAUUUGCCAAUUUUCA